UACGUAGGGUGCAAGCGUUGUCCGGAAUUAUUGGGCGUAAAGAGCUCGUAGGCGGUUUUGUUGCGUCGGCUGUGAAAAUCCCGAGGCUCAACCUCGGGUCUGCAGUCGAUACGAGCAAACUAGAGUGUUGCAGGGGAGACUGGAAUUCCUGGUGUAGCGGUGAAAUGCGCAGAUAUCAGGAGGAACACCGGUGGCGAAGGCGGGUCUCUGGGCAACAACUGACGCUGGAGGAGCGAAAAGCGUGGGGGAGCGAACAGG
rnacentral:rRNA from 1 species